rnacentral:rRNA from 1 species
UACGUAGGGUGCAGGCGUUAAUCGGAAUUACUGGGCGUAAAGCGUGCGCAGGCGGUUUCUUAAGUCAGAUGUGAAAGCCCCGGGCUUAACCUGGGAACUGCGUUUGAAACUGGGAGACUUGAGUGUGGCAGAGGGGGGUGGAAUUCCACGUGUAGCAGUGAAAUGCGUAGAUAUGUGGAGGAACACCGAUGGCGAAGGCAGCCCCCUGGGUUAACACUGACGCUCAUGCACGAAAGCGUGGGGAGCAAACGGG